rnacentral:rRNA from 1 species
GACGAACGCUGGCGGCGUGCUUAACACAUGCAAGUCGAGCGGUAAGGCCCUUUCGGGGGUACACGAGCGGCGAACGGGUGAGUAACACGUGGGUGACCUGCCCUCAGCUCUGGGAUAAGCCUGGGAAACCGGGUCUAAUACCGGAUAUGACUCCAUGACGCAUGUUGUGGGGUGGAAAGCCUUGUGCGGCUGAGGAUGGGCCCGCGGCCUAUCAGCUUGUUGGUGGGGNGAUGGCCUACCAAGGCGACGACGGGUAGCCGGCCUGAGAGGGCGACCGGCCACACUGGGACUGAGACACGGCCCAGACUCCUACGGGAGGCAGCAGUGGGGAAUUUUGCACAAUGACGAAAGUCUGAUGCAGUGACGCCGCGU